rnacentral:rRNA from 1 species
AUUGAACGCUGGCGGCAGGCCUAACACAUGCAAGUCGAACGAGUGGCGGACGGGUGAGUAAUGUCUGGGAAACUGCCUGAUGGAGGGGGAUAACUACUGGAAACGGUAGCUAAUACCGCAUACCAUCGGAUGUGCCCAGAUGGGAUUAGCUAGUAGGUGGGGUAAAGGCUCACCUAGGCGACGAUCCCUAGCUGGUCUGCGAGGAUGACCAGCCACACUGGGAAUGAGACACGGUCCAGACUCCUACGGGAGGCAGCAGUGGGGAAUAUUGCACAAGGGGCGCAAGCCUGAUACAGCCAUGCCGCGUGUAUGAAGAAGGCCUUAGGGUUGUAAAGUACUUUCAGCGGGGAGGCGUUACCCGAAGAAGAAGCACCGGCUAACUCCGUGCCAGCAGCCGCGGUAAUUC